UCUCUCCGCAAUGAGGAAGGAUGAGAAGCUCGACUAAGGUUCGAUUCGAGCGAAAGUGAGAGAACGUUGCCAACGGCAACGGCCCGAAGGCGAAGCGCGCAGCGCUGAGUCAUCCUUUUCCCACCACCA
rnacentral:sRNA from 1 species